GUCGGGGUAGCUCAGUCGGUAGAGCGGUGGAGUCAUAACCCACAGGUCGACGGAUCGUUCCCGUCCCCCGACA
rnacentral:tRNA from 1 species